rnacentral:rRNA from 1 species
GACGAACGCUGGCGGCGUGCUUAACACAUGCAAGUCGAACGAUAAUACCAAGCUUGCUUGGUUGAUUAGUGGCGAACGGGUGAGUAACACGUGAGUAACCUGCCCCUUACUUUCCUGGAUAACUGCUCGAAAGGGUAGCUAAUACGGGAUAUUCUGACCAGCCUGCAUGGGUUGGUUUGGAAAGGUUGUUUUUCUGGUAAGGGAUGGGCUCGCGGCCUAUCAGCUUGUUGGUGGGGUGAUGGCCUACCAAGGCUUUGACGGGUAGCCGGCCUGAGAGGGUGGACGGUCACACUGGGACUGAGAUACGGCCCAGACUCCUACGGGAGGCAGCAGUGGGGAAUAUUGCACAAUGGGCGCAAGCCUGAUGCAGCGACGCCGCGUGAGGGAUGAAGGCCUUCGGGUUGUAAACCUCUUUCGUCAGGGAACAAGGCACUGCUUUUUUGGUGGUGUUGAGGGUACCUGGAUAAGAAGCGCCGGCUAACUACGUG